rnacentral:rRNA from 1 species
AUUGAACGCUGGCGGCAUGCUUUACACAUGCAAGUCGAGCGGCAGCGCGGGGGCAACCCUGGCGGCGAGCGGCGAACGGGUGAGUAAUGCAUCGGAACGUACCCUGGAGUGGGGGAUAACGCCGCGAAAGCGGCGCUAAUACCGCAUACGCACUGAGGUGGAAAGCGGGGGACCUUUGGGCCUCGCGCAAUUGGAGCGGCCGAUGUCGGAUUAGCUAGUUGGUGAGGUAAAAGCUCACCAAGGCGACGAUCCGUAGCUGGUCUGAGAGGAUGAUCAGCCACACUGGAACUGAGACACGGUCCAGACUCCUACGGGAGGCAGCAGUGGGGAAUUUUGGACAAUGGGCGAAAGCCUGAUCCAGCCAUGCCGCGUGAGUGAAGAAGGCCUCGGUUGUAAGCUCUUUCUAGACGGAAAGGAAAUAAGACUUCGGUGAAUAUCCGAGGUUGAUGACGGUACCGUAAGAAGAAGACACCGGCUAACUACGUAGCCAGCAGCCGCGGUAA